rnacentral:rRNA from 1 species
CGGGAAUUUUGGGCAAUGGGCGAAAGCCUGACCCAGCAACGCCGCGUGAGGGAUGAAGCAUUUCGGUAUGUAAACCUCGAAAGAAUGGGAAGAAUAAAUGACGGUACCAUUUAUAAGCUCCGGCUAACUACGUGCCAGCAGCCGCGGUAAUACGUAGGGAGCAAGCGUUGUUCGGAUUUACUGGGCGUAAAGGGCGCGUAGGCGGCGCGGUAAGUCACUCGUGAAAUCUCUGAGCUUAACCCAGAACGGCCAAGUGAUACUGCUGUGCUAGAGUGCGGAAGAGGCAACCGGAAUUCUUGGUGUAGCGGUGAAAUGCGUAGAUAUCAAGAGGAACACCUGAGGCGAAGGCGGGUUGCUGGGCCGACACUGACGCUGAUGCGCGAAAGCCAGGGGAGCAAACG